GAUGAAGAACGCAGCGAAAUGCGAUACGUAAUGUGAAUUGCAAAUUCAGUGAAUCAUCGAGUCUUUGAACGCACAUUGCGCCCCCUGGUAUUCCGGGGGGCAUGUCUGUCCGAGCGUCAUUGCUGCCCUCAAGCACGGCUUGUGUGUUGGGCCCCGUCCUCCGAUCCCGGGGGACGGGCCCGAAAGGCAGCGGCGGCACCGCGUCCGGUCCUCGAGCGUAUGGGGCUUUGUCACCCGCUCUGUAGGCCCGGCCGGCGCUUGCCGAUCAACCCAAAUUUUUUAUCCAGGUUGACCUCGGAUCAGGUAGGGAUACCCGCUGAACUUAAGCAUAUCAAUAAGCGGAGGA
rnacentral:misc_RNA from 1 species